UACGUAGGGUGCAAGCGUUUAAUCGGAAUUACUGGGCGUAAAGCGUGCGCAGGCGGCUUUGCAAGACAGAUGUGAAAUCCCCCGGGCUCAACCUGGGAACUGCAUCUGUGACUGCAUCGCUGGAGUGCGGCAGAGGGGGGAUGGAAUUCCGCGUGUAGCAGUGAAAUGCGUAGAUAUGCGGAGGAACACCGAUGGCGAAGGCAAUCCCCUGGGCCUGCACUGACGCUCAGUGCACGAAAGCGUGGGGAGCGAAACAGG
rnacentral:rRNA from 1 species